UGGGGAAUAUUGCACAAUGGGGGAAACCCUGAUGCAGCGACGCCGCGUGAACGAAGAAGGUAUUCGUAUCGUAAAGUUCUGUCCUAUGGGAAGAUAAUGACAGUACCAUAGAAGAAAGCUCCGGCUAAAUACGUGCCAGCAGCCGCGGUAAUACGUAUGGAGCGAGCGUUGUCCGGAAUUAUUGGGCGUAAAGGGUACGCAGGCGGUUUAAUAAGUCGAAUGUUAAAGAACGGGGCUCAACCCCGCAAAGCAUUGGAAACUGAUAAACUUGAGUAGUGGAGAGGAAAGUGGAAUUCCUAGUGUAGUGGUGAAAUACGUAGAUAUUAGGAGGAAUACCAGUAGCGAAGGCGACUUUCUGGACACAAACUGACGCUGAGGUACGAAAGCGUGGGGAGCAAACAGG
rnacentral:rRNA from 1 species